rnacentral:rRNA from 1 species
AACUCGAUAAUCCACGUAUACUCAACCUUCUCUAGACACUCAGCAUGUGUACUGCCGUUGUAAGCAUACCUUUAAAAGAACAGUAUGCUACUAUGACUUUAAUACCUCAUACACAUCAGGUCAAAGUGCAGCCAAUGAAAAGGUGAUGAUGGGUUACAACCCUAAGACGGAAAUCAACUAAGGAAUUAAAAAUACUUACGAAAGUGGACUUGGCCGUAAUCAAUUUUAAAGUAAAAAAAUGAACAAUACCUAAGACAUGUACACAUCGCCCGUCACUCUAUCCUAAAGGUUAGAUAAGUCGUAACAAAGUAGGUGUAAUGGAAAUUGCACCUGUCGAAGUAUAGCAUAUAAAAUGCUUUUUACUUACACUAAAAAUAAAGUUAAUAAACUUGCUUCGCCCAUAUAUCUAUACCUUUAAAAUAAUAAAUAAUGUAAACAACUAAAUAUAUACAACAAUAACAGUACAGAAAUGGAACAAUAAAUAAAUAAAAGUAGUUAUUAAAAAACCUACCUUGUGCAUUAUGGUUUUACAAGAAAAUAAUUAAUAAUACAAAUCCCGAAUUCUAAAUGAGAUGUUAAACUGCUGUUAUGAACCCAUUAAUAACUGUGGAAAAAGCUUUAAAAGACAGUUUAACAGAGGCUACAUACCAUCCGCAUAAGAAUAUAGCUGGUUUCCAACAAAAAUUAUACAUUAAGACAUAUAAUAAAAUUAUAGUGUAAAAUUAUUGAGGACAAGCCCAAUAAUUUAAUGCAAUCCCAAAAUAUGUCACUUUGCCUUAAUAGGCCUAAAAUCAGCCAAUAAAAAUACUUUACCGUAUAAAAUGUAGACAAUAUUCAUAUAUAAAAAUGCCAAAUAAAGUUGAAAUGGGGGAAAAACUAAAAUAUUCUACCUAUACUAUGUAAAAAUAAGUAUUAAUAUACUACACAAUUAAAUGUCAGGUAAGACCACCACAUAAAUUACAACAAUUAAUUAAGGAACUCGGCAAAUUAAUAUUUCGACUGUUUAACAAAAACAUUGUCUCAUGAAUAAUAUAUUAGAUAAUACCUGCCCA